rnacentral:lncRNA from 1 species
GGCAGGUGUUUGGAUUCCAAAUCUUUUAAUCCAUAUAUAAAAAAAAGAUCUAUGAGUCUAGUUUCCAAUGAAAUCAGUUUUGAACAAAUCAGAGUUUCCAACAAAGACUUAUAGGCAGCUCGGUAUCAAAAGGUCAGAAUCUCAAAAGUUGCACAGAUUCGAAUCGUUACGUCUAAGCAGGAGAUAUAUCAAAUGAAAGGCUAGAACAAUUCAAAGUUCCUCAUAUUCAAAGCAAACAUAGAGAUAAAAUUACAGUAAGGAAAGAUCAAGACACUUGCAAUAGGAAAGAUUAGAACAAUAACAGGAGAAACGAUCGGGAAACUUGCAAUAGAAAAG